rnacentral:rRNA from 1 species
UACGGGGGGGGCAAGCGUUGUUCGGAAUUACUGGGCGUAAAGGGUGCGUAGGCGGGUCUUUAAGUCAGGGGUGAAAUCCUGGAGCUCAACUCCAGAACUGCCUUUGAUACUGAAGAUCUUGAGUUCGGGAGAGGUGAGUGGAACUGCGAGUGUAGAGGUGAAAUGCGUAGAGAUGUGGAGGAACACCAGUGGCGAAGGCGACUCUUUGGCCUGUAACUGACGCUGAGGCGCGAAAGCGUGGGGAGCAAACAGG